AUAUUUAUGUGUUUAUGCAUCUUCCAUGUUUUUAUUUUCUGCGGGGUAAAAUAGUUUUCUUUGAAUCACACAGGCUAUAAAUUAUUUGAAGACAAGGACUCUAUCUUUGGGCCUCCAAGGUGGCACUAGUGGUACAGAAUCUGCCUGCCAAGGCAGGAGACUCAAGAGAUGGUGAGUUCGAUCCCUGGGUCGAGAAGAUCCCUUGGACUAGGAAAUGGCAACCCACUCCAGUGUUCUUGCCUGGGAAAUUUCAUGGGCAGAGGAGCUUGGCAGGCUAUGGUCCAUGGGGGUCACAAAGAGUCGGACAUGACUGAGCACACACACACACACACACACACACUCUACUUCUGUUGCUUUAUGUUUCUCUUCCCAACACCAAAGAUAAAGCCAUGCUAUUGUUGGUAGAUAAAAACAACUCGUUACUUACCAACUCCUCUUUUUACCAUGACUUGAUUACUACAAAAGUAGAAAAUCGUGUUUAUUCAGGAAGUUCAGGCAGCAUCAGUUCAGUUCAGUUGCUCAGUAAUGUCCGAUUCAGGCAGUAUAUUGUCAAACUAUUGAUAACUAGAUCAGAAGACACAUAUGCCAUCAUGUACUUUCAACAGCUUAUAUAUUUUUUUACUUUUUACUUCCUAUUAUUUAUUUAUUUUGAUUUUGGCUGUGCUGGGUCUUGCUUGCAGCAUGUGGACUUAUAUCUAGCACGGCACAGGGCCUCGAGGCAUGUGGGGUCUUAGUUCCCCAACCAAGGAUCAAACGCACAUCCGCUGCAUCAAAAGGUGGGUUCUUAACCACUGGACCACAAAGGAAGUCACUUUCAGCAGAUAGUAACUCUGGUCCCCCAUUUUACUUUACAUUAUUGAUCUGAUUUUCAGUCCUCUUCCCCAUCCACUAAUUUUCAGAGGUUACUUGAAUGUCACUUUCAUAUUUGUAAAAUCAGACCAGGUUCAAAUAAACAAAAAACCUCUUAGUCUUCAGAUAACUAGUUUCAAUGUUCAAGGCUGUAAAGAAUGGACAUUUAUAGACCGGAAAUACUCCUGGACUCUUUAAGAUACAUAGUUAAUUGCUGUCACAGCUCUUGGACUGUUUUCUUUAACUAAUAGGAAGGGAAAGAAUGACAUAAUCAUUUUACUGACUUGUUGCUAUUUUUAAAGGCAAUGCAGAGAAAUUUAGAAGUAGGAACCAACUAAUAUUUAUUAAUAAAGAGAAAGCUGGAAGCAUGUAUCUGUUUAUGGGCUUGACCCUAAAGAAGGGAUAGUACAAGCCAGCCGAAUGUGUGUGAUGCAGGAACGUCAAAA
rnacentral:lncRNA from 1 species